AACGCUGGCGGCGUGCUUAACACAUGCAAGUCGAACGGACUUUAGAUGAAACCUAGUGAUUUUAAAGUUAGUGGCGGACGGGUGAGUAACGCGUGGGUAACCUGCCUUACACUGGGGGAUAACACUUAGAAAUAGGUGCUAAUACCGCAUAAGCGCACAGGAUCGCAUGAUCUAGUGUGAAAAACUCCGGUGGUGUAAGAUGGACCCGCGUCUGAUUAGAUAGUUGGUGAGGUAACGGCUCACCAAGUCAACGAUCAGUAGCCGGCCUGAGAGGGUGAACGGCCACAUUGGGACUGAGACACGGCCCAAACUCCUACGGGAGGCAGCAGUGGGGAAUAUUGGACAAUGGGGGAAACCCUGAUCCAGCGACGCCGCGUGAGUGAAGAAGUAUUUCGGUAUGUAAAGCUCUAUCAGCAAGGAAGAAAAUGACGGUACUUGACUAAUAAGCUCCGGCUAAAUACGUGCCAUCAGCCGCGGUAUACGUAUGGAGCAAGCGUUAUCCGGAAUUACUGGGUGUAAAGGGAGCGUAGAACGGGCCAACCAAGUCUGAAUGGAAAUCCCGGGGGCUCAACCCCCGGAACUGCUUUGGAAACUGUUUAGCUAGAGUGCGGGGAAGGAAGCGGAAUUCCUAGUGUAGCGGUGAAAUGCGUAGAUAUUGGGAGGAACACCAGUGGCGAAGGCGACUUUCUGGACUGUAACUGACGCUGAGGCGCGAAAGUGUGGGGAGCAAACAGGAUUAGAUACCCUGGUAGUCCACACUGUAAACGAUGAAUGCUAGGUGUAGCGGGUAUCGACCCCUUCUGUGCCGCAGUUAACACAAUAAGCAUUCCGCCUGGGGAGUACGGCCGCAAGGUUGAAACUCAAAGGAAUUGACGGGGGCCCGCACAAGCAGCGGAGCAUGUGGUUUAAUUCGACGCAACGCGAAGAACCUUACCAGGUCUUGACAUCCAGUAAAUCCUGUAGAGAUACAGAGUGUCUUCGGACAUACUGAGACAGGUGGUGCAUGGUUGUCGUCAGCUCGUGUCGUGAGAUGUUGGGUUAAGUCCCGCAACGAGCGCAACCCUUAUUUCCAGUUACUAACGUGUAAAGGCGAGGACUCUGGAGAGACUGCCGGGGACAACUCGGAGGAAGGUGGGGACGACGUCAAAUCAUCAUGCCCCUUAUGACCUGGGCUACACACGUGCUACAAUGGCCGUUACAGAGAGAAGCGAUACAGCAAUGUUGAGCGGAUCUCAAAAAAGCGGUCUCAGUUCGGAUUGUGGGCUGCAACCCGCCCACAUGAAGUCGGAGUUGCUAGUAAUCGCGGAUCAGCAUGCCGCGGUGAAUACGUUCCCGGGCCUUGCACACACCGCCCGUCA
rnacentral:rRNA from 1 species